rnacentral:lncRNA from 1 species
AAGAAAUGGUGCUUCUCUCAGCAUCCCAUGGAUUCAUGAGCUCCUUGAAUGCAAAUAUUGCCUAACAUUUUCAUGGUGAGGGAGAAUGGGAGAAAAAGGAAAUGAUUACAUUAUUGUGGAUACUUUUAUUCACUACAAUGGAAGUCCUUAAACAUAAAGUUGAUGUACAUUAAGAGGCAAGACCCAGAGCGUAUCAUCUAAAGAAGAUUCUUCCCACUUUUCUUCUGCUUACACCAAUCCAUCCAACCAUACAUGAAUUUAUAUUCAAUGUACUCAAUUUAUUCAGUGUAUAAUAUUGCUUUGUGAACUAUGGGAAAUAUAAAUAUGACUCAGUUUUUCCCCUCAAA